UUCAGGCAUCUGGAGACGAGCCCAGCGGAAACGCAGACGGAGGACAGUACCGAGCUCGAAGGAAAUAACCGGAAAAAGAAAACAAAAAUAAACAGCUGUAAAGGAACAAGCCUUGUAUCCAUUUAACCGACGGUGGAAGUUAGAAGUUGGAUAACGAAAACGACCCCAAGUGGGUCGUUGUUGCAGAGCCGAGUGUCGUUGUUCGGGAGCUCAACGCACUAUUGAGCCCAGCUCAUUCUUUUGGCCAUGCCGGAAGCAGACAGCGGAGGUGCUCCGGGCAGUGGUGCGAGCCCGUGGAGCAGUGCAACCAGGCAGGGUUGCCAGAAAAUCCGAGAUAUUAAGCUGUGAUACACCUGUGCCGUCCGAGCUGUGAUAUGAUUGUUGUUAUUGUUUGGA